UGAGGAAUAUUGGUCAAUGGGGCGAGAGCCUGAACCAGCCAAGUAGCGUGCAGGAAGACGGCCCUAUGGGUUGUAAACUGCUUUUAUAGGGGAAUAAAGUGAGCCACGUGUGGUUUUUUGCAUGUACCCUAUGAAUAAGGACCGGCUAAUUCCGUGCCAGCAGCCGCGGUAAUACGGAAGGUCCGGGCGUUAUCCGGAUUUAUUGGGUUUAAAGGGAGCGUAGGCCGGAGAUUAAGCGUGUUGUGAAAUGUAGACGCUCAACGUCUGCACUGCAGCGCGAACUGGGGGGCUUGAGUGCGCGCAGCGCAGGCGGAACUCGUGGUGUAGCGGUGAAAUGCUUAGAUAUCACGAAGAACUCCGAUCGCGAAGGCAGCCUGCGGGAGCGCAACUGA
rnacentral:rRNA from 1 species